AAAUAUUUAUCUAUUUUUUUCCUAAUCUAAUUAAUUAUUUGUACAUACUCAUCCAUUUUCUUAUGUAGUUUUUUGGGUUGAAAUUUAUUUUUAAUAAAGGUUUGUACACUUUCUCAAACACAAUCACAAUAUGCUUGCUUACACAUACAUAUAUCGUAAACCUGGAUAUUACUGAUUUUGAGAUAGAGGGAACAUCUCUGUUGAUGUUUUCCACACUCUUUCCAUUUCAGUUAUUUUUGCUUUGCCUAUCAAGAAAGCCAUCGACCAAUUCUUUUGCAAAUCUUUUCAUAACUUUGGUAGGCAAGCAAAUUAGUACUACCAUGCCAUCUUCCCCUCUUGAAUUUUUACUCAAGACAUGGUAGUGUGCUCCAAAAAAGGAACCUGCUCCAGCUUUAGCUUGUCCACCAUAUAAAGACUUACCCCAUCCAAAAUCCACAUCUCUAUACCCAAGACGUGUUACAUCUGAUACAAUGCUAGUUCCAGGUAUUGUAAAUAAGGGUCGUUUCUUAAUAACCAUUAAAUCUGCCAAAGAAUGCAUAUAUUCUUCAGUCACCUCAACCUUUGUUUUUUUAAUCAAUUCCACUGCAUACUCAAAUGGGUUUUCACUGAGAUUGUGUACUGUAGUGACUGCUGCAGGGUAUGCAAUACAAUUUCCAUAAUAACCAAUAGGUAAUAUAGGGUUAAACUUAGAACGUGCGUUGACGAUGCACAUCAUUCGAACAACCUCGUGUGAUUCCAAUUGCAGUGCUUUUGUUCGACAAAGCCAUACAUAUGCUGUAAGAACCUCAAAAGUGGUGCAUCGACCAAAAUGAGUGGGAAGCAAGCCAUGAAUUGCUGCUAUCUCAUUGGGUCCAAAGAAGAAAGAUUUGUGAACCAAGUUACCGUUAUCAUCGGAUGAUGGAACUUUGAUGGAGUCAGUACUAGGUACUUCCUCGUAUUCACGAUGAUUGCAUGUAAUACAAGGUGGAUUCCUUGCACAUAGGAGUUCUCUAUCCCACACAGGUGAGAUUGAAAGUUCAUCUAAACCUCGAGCCAUUUCUGACAAGGCGGUCAUGAAUUGUAAUAUGCCAACUCCAUCAAUCAUUGUGUGAUUAAACCGCAUGCCAACGAUGAAACCACCACACUUGAGGCGUGUAACCUGUCAUUUAAAAUCCACUACCAAUAUUAUCGAUAUGGGAGAUUAAUGAACAAGUCAAGCAACCACAAUAGCAACAUGUAUUAUUUAUCAUUGUAUCUUCAUUUAACUAUUAUUCUAGUUCUUAGUCUGAUAAGUUUACAACUACAACUAAAACUUUAUCUAUAGAUAUAUAUAUCGAAAAUAUUCCUGAAAUCAAAACGGCGAGAGAUAUAGUGCUAAGUUCGAGAAAUAGUUUGAAUGAUAGAUAUUUAUAGUUUAAUGGUUGGAUCCAUAAAAAUGAUUAUGUAAAAAGUUAGAGUGGUCUGUCUUAUAUAUAGUUGAUACUUCCACCUCCUCUAUAUAAUAUAUUUAUAUAUUAUUAUAUAAUUUUUCUUUAUUCCGGUAUAUAUCACCUACAUAACUAUGAAAUUAACCUUCCACCUAGGGAUGGUAAGUGAGACUCACAAAUUCGAAAGUCUAACCCGGCAAUAAAUAUUUGUUUGAGCGUAGUGGACUAUCUCCUUCGUUAACCACUUUUGAUUACAUCUAUGUCUACUGUUUUGCUAUAGGUUUACAUUAAUUUGAACAAUAAUGUGUAUUUAUAUUUGUACAAUUAUAAUAAAUAAACUGCAUAUAUGUAUAACGAUGUGAGUAAAAUAUGGUUUGUAACUCUCUACCUCAACUACAUAUGAGUCUUCAAAUAACAUAAUUAAAUUUUGAAUUUUCACAAAGUUGAAAACUUGAAAUAUUUUUUCUACUAUUCUCUUUGCUAAUUAAGAAGUGGAAAUUAAAAGAGAAAUAUAGUGGUAGACCUGUAUUAGCAGAAGGGGAGUGUGAAGAAUUCCUUCUGAGCCUGGAACAUCAUUAAGGAGUUCUUCAAAACAUGGAAAAGGAGGUUGAAGAGAAUCACCAAAUUGCUCAAGUGUUACAUCUGCAUCAGCCUCAACAAACAACACACCUUCUUCAUUACAAUCCACCAUGAGUUUUCGGUCAGCACCUUCCCUAAGUCUACCUGCAAAUGGGUAGUAGAACACAAGUGUUUGUGCAAGUGCUUGUCUAAUGACUUCAACUGGGUCUUUUCCUUCCAUUGAAGGUUCAUUACGGUAGAUUUGUACGAAUGGAAUUUGGAUACGCAAACCUUGUUGGUCAUCUAUGUCAGAAAGUGGCUUGAUUUCAUGAGGAGUAGGCUUAGCGGGAGUUACAUACUCUGGUUGGUGUCUCCUAACAGUGAAUAUUAGACAGGGAGGAGGAGCCAUAUCUUGGGAAAAAGCCAUAGUGAAAUUAGAGAAUAUCACAUAUGAGUGAGUGUCACAUGCAUUGCAUGGGGCUAAACUGCUAGAAUUUAUAAUGGAGCAUGAGAUAAUGAAUUUAGUAGUAUUAUCAAGGGUAUCUCCUCACCUUUUGGGUAAGGAACUAAUCUUCUUUUAGAUUAUAUGGUUGUCCAUCUCAAUAAGUAUCACUCACAUGAAUCAAACCAUUGACUUUUUACUCCUCUGGGAGUCUAGUAGAAUUUUAUAUCACUAAAUUAACAUAUUGUAGAAUGAAUUAAUCAUUAAUUAGAAAGGCUCUAAGUAGAGGUUCCUGAUAUUUACUCAUGUAUGCAUAGGCCCUAAACCCAUUUGUUUAUUUUUAAUUGUAUGCUUUUGCAGUUUAUGACAAGAAAUUGAGCGACCAAAUAUUUAGGCAAAUUUUAGUCCAUUUGUUUAUUUUUAAUUGUAUGCUUAUGCAGUUAUGACAAGAAAUUGAGGGACCAAAUAUUUAGGGAAGUGUAGGUUAACUUCCUUCUAUACUAGCGUGUCGGUCGACAACUCGUAUUAUUAUUUUUUGUAUAAAAGACCAUACAAUUAGCGAUAAUAUUAUUUUAUUAUGGACGAACGAGUGCUAAUAUAUUCUCUGAUUCGUAAUCAACUUCUAAGCUCAGAACUCGGGUUUAAAGACUAUUUUAUCCAAUUUGGCAUAAAAGAUAGCUUUAUACAUUUUAACCACUAAAAAAUAACGGCGAAUCCAAAUAUGUUGGGAGAGAUGAAGUUGAAUUCACUUCUUCCCAAGUCUAGAGUCGGUUUCCAACUGAAAAUCGAGUAUGACAACUCGCGACUCUACUGUGGACACAUCCUCAUAAGAGAAUUUGACUGAUAGCCACACGAGCUAAAAUACCCUUACCUUGUUAAAAAAAUAUUUAUCUAUUUUUUUCCUAAUCUAAUUAAUUAUUUGUACAUACUCAUCCAUUUUCUUAUGUAGUUUUUUGGGUUGAAAUUUAUUUUUAAUAAAGGUUUGUACACUUUCUCAAACACAAUCACAAUAUGCUUGCUUACACAUACAUAUAUCGUAAACCUGGAUAUUACUGAUUUUGAGAUAGAGGGAACAUCUCUGUUGAUGUUUUCCACACUCUUUCCAUUUCAGUUAUUUUUGCUUUGCCUAUCAAGAAAGCCAUCGACCAAUUCUUUUGCAAAUCUUUUCAUAACUUUGGUAGGCAAGCAAAUUAGUACUACCAUGCCAUCUUCCCCUCUUGAAUUUUUACUCAAGACAUGGUAGUGUGCUCCAAAAAAGGAACCUGCUCCAGCUUUAGCUUGUCCACCAUAUAAAGACUUACCCCAUCCAAAAUCCACAUCUCUAUACCCAAGACGUGUUACAUCUGAUACAAUGCUAGUUCCAG
rnacentral:lncRNA from 1 species